AUGGUCUCGAGUCGCAACCGUUGCGGUCUCCAGUUGCAGCUUCAUGGUCUCGAGUCGCAACCGUUGGUCUCGAGUCGUUUACCUGCUGAUUCUGAUGCAUCUGCCCGAAUUGUACUAUGCAACAGAAUUCUGAUUUCCUGAGGUUAUGUACUAUCCAAUGAUAUCACACAAACAUGUUCCCUUGUCUAACACUUAACCAAAAUGGAUCAAACAACAAGUUUUUCAAAUAUUUGCAACAACAUUCAAACACAUUCCACACAUAUUCAUCAUAUGUUCAUCAUUUUAGGGUUUUCCUAACUUGAUUGUUCAACCAACACAUUCACUAUGAUUCACCGAUUUAUUCAUGUGGACUUAGAAGCAAAUCACUAAACCUUCAACCCACCCAAACAUGCAUUUCACAAGCAACAAUCAUGUAACAUUUAUUCUAAACACCAUCAACAU
rnacentral:lncRNA from 1 species